UCUCACUGGAAGCUUCAUUGUGGUGGUUGUUGGUAUGCUUUCUGGAUUGCUUGUCCUGGUACUGGAGCACUUCUGGAAUAGGUUUUCAAAGAGGAAGCAAUCCCCAAUCACACAGGUGAGACCGACUGUCAGUAGCAAGUCGUCCCUAGGGAUACCAGGCUCCGGCAACAUGGAGGUUACUGUUCUGGGAGCUACCAUCCUGAAAGACGAGCUGCACACUAAGCCGGACAGCUAGACAUCUUGACAUCUUUCGGGCUGCGGCAGUUUGGGGCUCACAGAGCUAGAUGCCAAGCAUGACUAGUUUGUGCUCACUCCGUUAGUUUGCGGCUCAUACAUCUAGACAUCUUUCGGACUGCUGCAGUUUGGAGCUCACUCACCUGGACGCUGAGUGUGACGUGCCUUUGGUCUUAUACAGCUAGACGCCGAGCCUGAAUGCUGCAGAUAACGAGCCGGUGAAUAAACUGGUCACAUGAUGUGGAUUCCCUUGAAUAGGGUGUGCUCUCCUACGCAGAUCGACACCUGGUCAAUACGUUGAACGCAUCCUGCAUUGUUCCAGUUUGAAGAAUAUGAACGGUGUUUACAGCUAUGCCAGUACUUUCAUGUCGGAUUCAAUCACAUUAGGUGAAAACGGUUGUCAUGGUCAGUAAAUUGUGUUAUUCUGCUUCUUGUAUGCAAAAUGGCUAAUUAUAGAAAUUUUACAUUCACACUAUGCAAAUGCUCAAUCCAGUUUUUCAUCUUGCAGUAUAUGUGAUACACUAUUAAUAAUUGUGUUUUAUCUUCACACGUUAUACGGCCUGAUAACAAUCGGUCGAUGAUAUCAGUGUUCGAAGCCAUCUUCAGCUGACGUUCAUAAGGUCCCACUGAAACUGUUCUGGCAGGUAUUCCACUCGUGUUUCAAAUUGGUGACGUUUAAAAAUGUCACUAACUCAUCAGUCAAUUUGUCUUUCGCCCUUAUACCCAAGUUCGACGAUCGAUUUGCACCUCAGAAUCGCUGCGGACAUCCACCAGAGUUUCAUAUUCUUUCCACACAAUGGAACAUGUCAGAAUCAGUAAGUUCAGAUAACAUUCUCUUGUGCCAAAGGAGUAGCAUAUUGUUGGAGCGGAGAUGCAUGUUCUUGGUGUAUGCAGACAAUUAGCAAGUGAUAGCCUAUCUAUCCUCAGGUCAUUUUGUCGACCAAAUACAUAAAUAUACUAUUUGUUUUAGAACAGCUGACUACAGUCUUGGUCAGUGAGAUCAAUAUUAAUUACUCAUCUAUUAAUGAAGACCAUUCAGGCCGAGGUCUCAAACAUCCCCCCUUGUUCAAUAAUUGUUCAUAAUUGUGUACACACGGUUUUUGUUUCUGCUUCCAAGUUCGAUGUUCACGAAUGUAUUUCAUGCUGCUGUAAAUAAAUCACUUUGUACUUAUCUUCA